CGGGGCUUAUGUCUUGUAAUUGGAUGAUGGGAAUUUAAACCUCUUCCAGAGUAUCAAUUGGAGGGCAAGUCUGGUGCCAGCAGCCGCGGUAAUUCCAGCUCCAAUAGCGUAUAUUAAAAUUGUUGCAGUUAAAAAGCUCGUAGUUGAAUUUCUGCUGCAUUGCAUUUUCUCCUAUACGAGUUUUUGCAUUGUGGCUUAUUUCGGUUAUAAAAUUUAUUUUUAUUUCCGGAUGUUUACUUUGAGAAAAUUAGAGUGCUCAAAGCAGGCUUUUGCCUUGAAUAGUUUAGCAUGAAAUAAUAAAGUAGGACUUUGGUUCUAUUUUGUUGGUUUUAGGUACCUUAGUAAU
rnacentral:rRNA from 1 species